AACGAACGCUGGCGGCAGGCUUAACACAUGCAAGUCGAGCGCCCCGCAAGGGGAGCGGCAGACGGGUGAGUAACGCGUGGGAAUCUACCCAUCCCUACGGAAUAACGCAUGGAAACGUGUGCUAAUACCGUAUACGUCCUUCGGGAGAAAGAUCUAUCGGAGAUGGAUGAGCCCGCGUUGGAUUAGCUAGUUGGUGGGGUAAAGGCCUACCAAGUCGACGAUCCAUAGCUGGUCUGAGAGGCUGAUCAGCCACACUGGGACUGAGACCCGGCCCAGACUCCUACGGGAGGCAGCAGUGGGGAAUAUUGGACAAUGGGCGCAAGCCUGAUCCAGCCAUGCCGCGUGAGUGAUGAAGGCCCUAGGGUUGUAAAGCUCUUUCACCGGUGAAGAUAAUGACGGUAACCGGAGAAGAAGCCCCGGCUAACUUCGUGCCAGCCGCCGCAGUAAAAC
rnacentral:rRNA from 1 species